rnacentral:rRNA from 1 species
UACAGACAACCUGGCGAACAGUAUUCACUAAGUUUGACCUCAAAUCAGGUAGGAUUACCCGCUGAACUUAAGCAUAUCAAUAAGCGGAGGAAAAGAAACCAACCGGGAUUGCCUUAGUAACGGCGAGUGAAGCGGCAAAAGCUCAAAUUUGAAAUCUGGCACCUUCGGUGUCCGAGUUGUAAUUUGAAGAAGCAACUUUGGUGCUGGUCCUUGUCUAUGUUCCUUGGAACAGGACGUCAUAGAGGGUGAGAAUCCCGUGUGGCGAGGAUCCCAGUGCUAUGUAAAGUGCUUUCGACGAGUCGAGUUGUUUGGGAAUGCAGCUCUAAGUGGGUGGUAAAUUCCAUCUAAAGCUAAAUAUUGGCGAGAGACCGAUAGCGAACAAGUACAGUGAUGGAAAGAUGAAAAGAACUUUGAAAAGAGAGUGAAAAAGUACGUGAAAUUGUUGAAAGGGAAGGGCAUUUGAUCAGACAUGGUGUUUUGCGACCCUCGCUCCUUGUGGGUGGGGAUCUCGCAGCUCACUGGGCCAACAUCGGUUUUGGCGGCAGGAUAAAACUUUGGGAAUGUAGCUUGUCUUCGGAGAAGUAUUAUAGCCCAAGGCAAUACUGCCAGCCGGGACCGAGGACUGCGACUUGUCAAGGGAUGUGGCC